CUGUAUAUGUAUCCGACCUCUAGGAGUCAUCCACAUGAGCCCACGAAUCACGAUCAGAAGUCCUAGUCCAAGAAAUCAGCACAGUAUGCUAGUACUGUGCUGAUCUUUCUUCGAUGGUCGAUCAGAUGCCUCCUUCUUCUUGAUUUAGAUUCUUCCAAAGAUGAGAAGUAGGAGAAGAAGUUUUAUAUUUGAGACACUCUCAGAAAACUCACAG
rnacentral:lncRNA from 1 species